GUGCUCUUUCUCCCUGUACUGAGGUAAACAUUUUCCCUUUACUUUCUUCAUGUUUCCUGGCUUUGAUUUCAUUAGGAUGAAAGUAGGCUUAUAAAAUGAGAUGGAGAGGCUUCUUUCUGUUACUCUAUUUGGAAGUAUUUGUGUCCAGCUGAAAUUAUUUUCCCUGUAAUGUUUUAUAGAACUUUCAGAUUAAAAUAUCUGGGUUUGGAGUUUUCUCUGUGGGAAAAAUUUUUGAGUAUUUAUUGUUUAAUUUAAUGGUUUCGGACUAUUCAUAUUUGCCAUUUUUUCUUUAGUGAAAUUUAAUUGAUUUUUUGUUAUGAUUUCAUUUAAAACUUCAAAUUAGUUUGGCAAAAUUUCUUACACCUUUGCACAUUCUGAUCCACCUUUUGGAUAUACUCUUCUUUUGCUUUUUAUUUUAUUUUUUGCUGACCUUUCUCAUCUUUUAGAUUUCAGUUCCUAAAUGCUUACUGGAGGCUGGGUUAAGGACAGACCCCAGACAGUCUGUCACUUUGACCUGCUGUAGCCCAGAGAACCGGGGUGGUGCUUUCCUGGAAAGAAAGCAAAAGAGAGCAGCCUUUGCAGGGUGCUCAGAAGCUUUUGAGAAAACGCUGUUUCUCUAGCAUCUCUAAAUUGUGAAAAAUCUGUGUAGCCUCAACUUUUUGGGGCGGGGAGCCCGAAUGCUCUGAGAAGGCAGGUUGGAUGAAGACCAAAAUCAGGCCCUCGCAGUUCCUAAUAAUGGGGAAUGAGGCCCCCCAGAUGCCUCAGAUUCCAGCUGAGUUGCUUUCACCGCGCCCACCCACCCCUCAGGAACAGGGUCCAAAUCAGGCGGUGUGAGUGACUCCUCCAGGCCUCCCGCGUGCCUUCCCACCACCCAUGUGCUUUCCUCGCCCGCACCAUCGCUAAUGGGGGGUCGAGAUCCGCUGAGAUGAGAGUGCCUGUGGGAAAUGAGCUGGAAAGGAAACAGACAACUACAACAAAAUGGCUCAAAAUCCAACCUUUCUAACCUGAAGAAUGGUUCCUUCCCUCUCAGUCACACAACCCCGCAACCCAGUGGCUGCACAAAAGGAGGGACAUUUUCUAAUUGCUCACAGCAGUCUUUGAUCAGUUGGUAUCAGCCAAUCUGCCGCCGUUUCCCCCACAGUACAGAGAAGCAGCCUCGGUUGAGCGUCGCCGUCAUCUCCAUCUUGAUUUUCCGCUCAUAUUCCCACGGCUUCUCUAAAUCCAGACUUAUUUGAAAGCAUUUGAAUGGGGGAAAAAAAUUACAUUGGUUCCACAAAGGCAGGAAGCUUUCCAGUCAGGAGUGUGUACUCCGUCUGUGUAACCACAGUGCAUUUUCGUUGCUCCGAAUUCCCGGGGACUUAUCAUCUCNNNNNNNNNNNNNNNNNNNNNNNNNNNNNNNNNNNNNNNNNNNNNNNNNNNNNNNNNNNNNNNNNNNNNNNNNNNNNNNNNNNNNNNNNNNNNNNNNNNNNNNNNNNNNNNNNNUAAGAAUGUUAAAAUACUUUGCUAUCCUGAAACAUUCGGAGAGCUAAUAUUUCCUUUAGAAAAAGCACUGUUUUAAAUGUACUAAGUUUAAAUAAACUAUAUUAAAUGCAAUACAGACUAAGGAAAUGCAGAAAAACAAAAAGGUGGUAACUUGAAAAUUUUCUGAAGUCUCACACUCAGAGAAAUAUAUUGUUUAUAUUUGUGGUUCAUUUCAAGAUUUUUCAUUCUAGUUAUACAUUUUGGGACAAAAGAAACUCCCACCGUAUGGAUCCAUGGCCUGGGUUGACACACUGAACCAGACGUGAACCACAACUUCACUUGUUACCGGACCCCCAUUACCUCCAUUUUAACAGAGGGCCCGUGAUGACACUUUGGGUCUUUCCAUAUAAAUAUUCACUUGGACCUUGUUUCCAACAGUCCUUGAGAUUUGAGGGGUUUUCUCUUUAGCAAGUCCAUUUAGGAAAGAAAUGGGGGAAUUAUAUUCUAUAUAUUUUCAGUGGCACUGCAGGGUCAUCAGGAAUUGGCUUCUCCCUUUAAUCCAAGAUGUCAGAUCUGAAAACUGGUUUAUGAUCAGAAACUGGGCAAGGUAUUGUGAUUGUAUUUUUAACUGGGGCAGCUACCCUCAGCCUUCUGAUUAUCCUUGAUUUCUUCUGUGUAGACAGUGAUAUGCUUGUUGGCUGCCCAUCUAUUUUGUUUCUAGGGAUGCUGUAUUUUAUUAACUGUCUCAACACUCUACAAAGGUGGCUACCUCUCUGAAAUUGUCUUUCAUUACAUGAAUUUUGCCCACCACACCCGGCGCAUGUACAUGCAUACACUGACCAGGUUCUGACCAGCUCAGUGCUGCUAUUUCUGGCCUGAAUUGCUUCAAGAUCCUAUAAUUCCCAUUGCUGUCAGUGAAGCCACUUCUGUAGCAGAAUCUCGUAUCACCAGCACAAGUCCAAUAGAGGACAGUCACCAUGGAGCUUCUUAGUAAUGGUAGUGUACCUGUCCCAUCACAUGCCUCCCCCCACCCCCAACAGAAUAUCCUUUGGCUCUCCUGUUACCAAUUCAUCCAGUGGGUUUUCCAAUAUUACAUGGUAAAUCCACUCUAGCAUGUCCACUUCUUUGAAUUUUUGAUCCCUCCUUCUGCCAUCAAUGUCAAGAGUCCUGGCAUUCUUACCACAUUUAGUGACAGCUUUUGCUGUUUUAAGCAGGAGAAUCCUAACAGUACAUUGAGUUCUUGCCAGCGUAUAAAAAUUCUGUACUUUGGGAGAAUGCUCUAGUAUCAGUGUUUUCUACAUCAACUAACUUUGCAUUCUACUCUCCUUGAUCCAGAACACUCAGAAUUUAGUUGUGUAUGGAAGGAUGCCGAAUGUGUGGCAGAGGUAUGUGUUUGGCAGAGGAGAGAUCUCUGCAUUGUCUUCAAGGAAGAAGGACUAACUAACCCUUGGUAAGGAGGAUUGGGCUACUUCUAAAAAGCUGAAAGGAUCUUGGGAAGUCUGGAGAUUUAGAUGUUCUAAUGUAUCCCUUGGAGAAGAAAAUGGCAGCCCACUCCAGUAUUCUUGCCUGGGAAGUCCCAUAGACUGAAGAGCCUGGCAGGCUACAGUCCAUGGGGUCGCAGAGUCAGACACGACUUAGCGACUCAACAGCAACAACAAUGCAUCCCACCAGAUGUCUCCAUCCAAUGUCUCAAUAUUCUGUUCUUUUCCAAUUGAGGCCAUGACCUAGGCACAGAAGAUAAUCUGGUUUG
ensembl:lncRNA